rnacentral:misc_RNA from 1 species
CCGCCUUCCCGCCCCUCUAUCUCUCUAUCUCUUCAAUUUUUUACUCGUUAGUCGUUCCUGUUGACUCUUCGAGGCUAGAGAUUGAGACACAGCCAGAGAGCAACUCCGUUUAUGUAUGGGUGUUUAAGCUACGAAGUGAGAGCUUCAGAGGGCUGAGAUGUUGAAGAGAUCUACCCUGGUGUGUUCCCAUGGAGCUCAACACACCUAAUAAGAACCACCUCAUCUCCACCUCCCUUUCUCAAUUUGAGGAUUCUCCUGUCUUUAAUUACAUCAACAAUCUCUCCCCCAUUGAGUUAGUCAAGUCUGUGCACAGCGAUCAAACAUUUAACUCUCUAGCUUUUUCAUCCCCUCCAUCGGUGUUUGCUUCCCCUAAGCUUGUUUCCCAAAGAGACACAAGAUCCUUUAUUACAAGGCGUCAAUUAUCAGACCCAUUGAAACCCAGGCCUUCUCAAAUUAGAGAUGACAACAAUACGAGUGAAGGGGUUUCAGAGGCUGUUGAACUAUCCAACUUGUCUGCUGAACAAUUGGGAUGCUUGGCUUCCAGCAGUUCACCUAAAGAUGUUACUGCUGAGCCGCUCAAUGAACACUUGGAAUUAGCAAUUGAACUUCCAGAACCCUUGAAAUGUGAUAGUACUAGCCCAGAUAAAAGCAUUGUGCCUCUUGAUGCAAUUAGGAGAGAUACAGCGCCAGAAGAGGUGGACAAAUCAAAUGAGAGACAUUGUUUGUAUGAGAGUGAAAAAAAUUUGCGUAAAAUCUGUCGAAUUGACCAAAGUGAAGAUGAAGCAGGAGGUGAUUGGGUGACGUUGAUUUCUAAUGUUGCUGAUGCCUUGAACUUUGAAUCAUCCAUCAUUGAAGAACACUCUGAAGAGCACAAACUAAUGGUGGAUCCUGGCACAAUCUCUUUUAUCUCAAAUGUACUGCAGAUCCCACAAGAUAGUACCAAUGAUUUGGAGAAUGUGGAAUCUAUUGUUUGUGAUGAUUAUUCAGAACAGAAAAUGGGAGAACCAGGAUCUCAGUCAAUAGUAUUAGGAAAAAAGAAGGAAGCCGAUGAAAUACCAGCUAUACUUUCUGGCAGUCUACUGAAUAAGCUAGUUGUUAAUGAUGCGGCUGCAGAAGUGGAUGUCAAGGGGAAAAAGCGUGAAUCCAGCUGCAAGCAGAAUAGAAUACGAAGGUUGGUUUUUGAGAUGGCAGGGGCUCAUAAGAAGGAAUCAGUAUGUCAAGAAAAUAGUACUUCUCCAAUUUCAGGGCAAUCAGAUUGUGAAGUUGGCCACACUGCAAAGCCUUCAACUCCAAGAAUAUCCAUGCUAUCAAGACGGGGUAUUGGUUUGCACUUGAAUGCUUUUGCAACUACUUCAAGUGAUAAUAAAGUUGUCAAGACUGAGACAUCUUCUACAAAGCAAGAAAUGAGUUUGGUCCUUUGUGACAGUGAAGAUCAGGUCACAGAAGAUGCUCCACAAAUAUUGACAGUUGUUAGUGAUGAAGUUGGCAUUAGUAGUCCUAAAAUGAAGAGGCACAAAAUUGAACAUGCUGGAGCAGCCUGCAAGCGCUGCAAUUGUAAGAGGUCAAAAUGCUUGAAGCUUUAUUGUGAAUGUUUUGCUGCUGGACUCUACUGUAUUGAGCCUUGUUCAUGUCAAGAUUGUUUUAACAAGCCUGCUCAUGAAGAAACUGUUCUAGAGACUCGGAAACAGAUUGAAUCUCGCAAUCCUCUCGCAUUUGCUCCAAAAGUUAUUAGAAGCACAGAUUUUGUUUCUGAAUUUGGGGUUAGAAAUCCUCCCUAUAGUUACUUUAUUUGAGAACAAGUCACAGGCGAAUUUUAUAAUACACUCAGAGCAUGUGUUCUUUCGCUCACAUAGAUGUGGGACCCACUUUUCUUAAUUUAUGGAGAGGCCAACAAUUAUGUGAAUGUAGAGCACAAAAAUUUAGUGCUCUGGAUGUAUUGAAUAAUUUCCUCAAGGGAUGCUGGUGUCUCAGCAAUCAUAUACCAUACUCUUCAUACUUUGUUAAAGCAUUGUCUUAUUUGCAAGGUAAAGCCCACAAUGAGGUGGUGCCUCAGAAAAUUCAUGAAGAGGAUUGUAUUUUGAAGGCUGUGGUGCCAUUUUAAUUGGUGUCAAUUUGUCAUACUAUUCCUGAGCCUUUUUUAAUUUCCUUAAACUACAUUGCUUGUUUUUUGUUCAUGCAGGAUGAAACUAACAAAACUCCAGCUUCAGCCAGGCAUAAAAGAGGAUGCAAUUGUAAAAAAUCAAGCUGCUUAAAGAAAUACUGUGAAUGCUUCCAGGUUUCACCACUUGUCUCUCUCAUUGUGCAUUCUUUUUACCUGAUCUAAUGAGGAGAAUGUUGUUUGUGUAUAAAGGGUGGCGUUGGUUGCUCUCCUAACUGUAGAUGUGAAGGGUGUAAAAACACUUUUGGUACCAAGAAUGGACUAGACGAAAACGAACUUGAAGGUGGUGAAUCUGAAGUGCUUGAGAAGAAAGCAUCAGAUGUAACUUUAUGUGAUAGAAUCGAAAGCGGUGAAGAAGAGGGUGCAGAUCUUCCAAUACCUUCUGAAACUGCCAGGUCUUCAAUUCAACUGCCAAUGACUUUUGGUGGGAGGCUCUCAAGAUCUCUAUCUACUUUUGGUGCAUCAUCUCAAAUGUGCCCCAGCCAAAAGCAUGGAAAGGACAUUUUUCGCCAGCCUAAAUUUGAAACUCAUCUUCAGGCGAUUCCAGAAGAAGAAACUCCUGAGGUACUGACUAGGAGUUGCCCACCUGCAAAUGGUGUGAAAUCAGCCUCUCCAAACUGCAAAAGGGUUUCACCUCCUCAUCAAGGUUUUGGUUCAUCAGCUAUUUGGAGGAGCAGCAGAAAGUUGAUUCUAAGAUCUGUCCCACCCUUCCCAUCUCUUAACUCACCACGUCAGCAAUGACUAAAACCUUUGGUAAAACACCAAUGCUUAUGAUGCUGAGGCAUGUUGUAUUAUGAGACAAACAUGUAUAAUAGUAACUAUAAGAAUCAUCCCUGCCGUUGAGAAAGCUAUUUUCCAUGGCACCAUCAAUAUUCAUGUAAUGUAAGUCUAUUCCAUGUAUCUUUAAUAUUUUGUGUUGAACAAGUUAAAAGCAGUACCUGUAGCAUACCUUCAAAGCCCUGUAAGUUUACCUGUAAACAGACAUUCACCAGUCCCAUAUUUUACGUAUCUCUAAUGGGGAUGGCAUCCAAUACGCCCUUACCAUGA